CUGUUUUAAGCACCAGUUAAGAUUAGCAACAUAAAAAAAACCUCAGCUAAUACACCACCCUGAUGAUAGUGUCUUAAGCUCCACGCAUUUCAUUUCAUCAUCAGGCUCCUAAAGAAGAAUCCCUCCUUGUGUCCAAAUUGGAAUCCGAUGAUCAGGAUGAUUCCAGUGGGGGAAUAUCUGUCCAGCUUUCCACACCAAGUUCUCGUGAGAAGUUCUUUCUGAGAGAGCGCUUGGUUCGUCACCACAGAGAAACAUUCCUCCACCAUUUUUAAGCUUUUGCUCCAUCCCACUUAUUUAAAGAGCUCACACUCCGCAAGUUGGACCUCCUACACACACUCUCAAAGAGAAGAGAAGAUUGAUAGUGAAAAGAUGGACGCGUUAGCUUCCGACAGCGUCCCAUGGCUGUCACGGCUGCUAUCCGCUCUAAGAACUGGAAUUGCAUGCUUACUUGUCUUGCUUGGUGUGUCCAAAGCCAGCCGUUUUGUUGAAUUCCCCGUCUUUGGAUAUGUUGUCACAGUUCUCGUGCUCAGCGAGUCGGCACUCGGCAAAGCUCUCGAAGAUGCUGCCUUUGUCAUGUAUGGAACUCUCCAGGCUGCUGCAUUCUCGAUGGUGGUGCUGUCGAUCAUAGGUGAGUCAGUGGUUUCUCUCGAGUUUAACAAAAGGGAAAGCACCUGGGAGCUGAUCAUCGUCUUGGUUUUUGCCUCCUCCAUUCCUCCAGGAACGAAGAACUUCUCGCUCGGCGUGUGCCUCACUUGUAUCUUCGUCAAGAGCUUCCUGUGGAGCUAUCUCCCGAACCAAAAGCCAGUGAAGAAGAGGCUCGCGCUGGCCAUCACCACCAUCGUCUACGUGAAUGCGUACAACAAUCCCCUGACUCAUCCGGUCUUCUUUCCGCUCAAGUUGACGCUCACCACCACGCUCGGCACUGUGUCUGCGAUAAUUGCCUUGAUAUUCCCCGUGCCACGCCUCUCAGCUUAU
rnacentral:lncRNA from 1 species